rnacentral:lncRNA from 1 species
UUGAUCAGCAGUGUGGCAUCAACUGAGGAUCUCAUGUAGCCCACUCUGACCUUGAACUCACCACGGCGCUGAGACUGGCCUUCCAUUUCUGAUUCUUCUGCCUUCAUAUCCACACGUGCUGGAUUACAGGCGUGGGCUUCGACGUCUGCACCCGACACACAUCGAUUUGUUCACUCUGUGGAUGGUAAAGUGAUGGCUCAGAGAGGCACAUCUCCAAGCACAGCACAGCAGAAACUA